GACGAACGCUGGCGGCGUGCUUAACACAUGCAAGUCGAGCGGUAAGGCCCUUUCGGGGGUACACGAGCGGCGAACGGGUGAGUAACACGUGGGUGACCUGCCCUCAGCUCUGGGAUAAGCCUGGGAAACCGGGUCUAAUACCGGAUAUGACUCCAUGACGCAUGUUGUGGGGUGGAAAGCCUUGUGCGGCUGAGGAUGGGCCCGCGGCCUAUCAGCUUGUUGGUGGGGUGANGGCCUACCAAGGCGACGACGGGUAGCCGGCCUGAGAGGGCGACCGGCCACACUGGGACUGAGACACGGCCCAGACUCCUACGGGAGGCAGCAGUGGGGGAACUUCGUUCGCGACAAGGUC
rnacentral:rRNA from 1 species